GCGGAGGGAAGUGUAAAGCCAAUUCCUACUGUAGAGAGUCGGACAACACAUGUGUUUGUAAUACAGGCUACAUUGGAGAUCCAUUAAGAGGAUGCAAAAGACCUUGUGAUGAUAAAUGUAAGAAGAACUCCUACUGCGAUCCCCAUGACAAUAGAUGCUACUGUAAUAAGGGAUUAGUUGGAAAUCCAUAUAAGGAAGGAUGCGAUGUUCCUUGUGGAGGAAAAUGUGUUCUAAAUAGCUUCUGCAGAGAACGUGAUAA